GCCGGGCAUGGUGGCGCAUGCUUGUAGUCCCAGCUACUUGGGAGGCUGAGGCAGGAGGAUCGCUUGAACCCAGGAGGCAGAGGUUUGCAGUGAGCCGAGAUCGUGCCACUGCACUCCAGCCUGGGAGACAGAGUGAGAUUCCGUCUCAA
ensembl:misc_RNA Metazoa_SRP Metazoan signal recognition particle RNA